rnacentral:rRNA from 1 species
GGCGUGCGUGAGCUGUCAAAGGCCUCGCUGUUUGCAUGUUUGUGCUUUUUGGGUGUACUUUUUCGUAUGGUAGGCCAACGUCAGUUUCGAUCACCAUAAAAUGAUUGGAGGAAUGUAGCUUCGAUCUCGUAUUGAAGUGUUAUAGCCUUUGGUAGAUGUGGUGAUCGAAACUGAGGAUUGCAACGAAUACCCUUUAGGGCUAUCCGUCUGACCUCUGGAAGUUGCUUGGGUGCCGAAAGCUUGCUUAUGGUAUUUAAGACGACGGUCAAAAGGUUAGAACGUGAUUACA